rnacentral:rRNA from 1 species
GACGAACGCUGGCGGCGUCCUUAACACAUGCAAGUCGAACGGAAAGGCCUCUUUCGGGGGGUACUCGAGUGGCGAACGGGUGAGUAACACGUGAGUAACCUGCCCUUGACUUUGGGAUAACUUCAGGAAACUGGGGCUAAUACCGGAUAGGAGCUCCUGCUGCAUGGUGGGGGUUGGAAAGUUUCGGCGGUUGGGGAUGGACUCGCGGCUUAUCAGCUUGUUGGUGGGGUAGUGGCUUACCAAGGCUUUGACGGGUAGCCGGCCUGAGAGGGUGACCGGCCACAUUGGGACUGAGAUACGGCCCAGACUCCUACGGGAGGCAGCAGUGGGGAAUAUUGCACAAUGGGUGGAAGCCUGAUGCAGCAACGCCGUGUGCGGGAUGACGGCCUUCGGGUUGUAAACCGCUUUCGCUCAUGACGAAGCUUUGUGUGACGGUAGUGGGUAAAGAAGCACCGGCUAACUACGUG